rnacentral:rRNA from 1 species
CCUACGUGCGGCAGCAGUGGGGAAUAUUGGGCAAUGGAGGCAACUCUGACCCAGCAACGCCGCGUGAAUGAUGAAGGUCUUCGGAUUGUAAAGUUCUUUUCUAAGGGAAGAAGAAAGUGACGGUACCUUAGGAAAAAGCAUCGGCUAACUCCGUGCCAGCAGCCGCGGUAAUACGGAGGAUGCGAGCGUUAUCCGGAUUUAUUGGGUUAAAAGGGUGCGCAGGCGGAGGCACAAGUCAGCGGUAAAAUCGCGGGGCUCAACCCCGCUCCGCCGGUGAAACUGUGUCCCUUGAGUGCGCGAAGGGUAGGCGGAAUGCGUGGUGUAGCGGUGAAAUGCAUAGAUAUCACGCAGAACUCCGAUCGCGAAGGCAGCCUACCGGCGCGCAACUGACGCUCAUGCACGAAAGCGUGGGUAUCGAACAGGAUUAGAUACCCCUGUAGUC